rnacentral:snRNA from 1 species
CUGCUCACUUCAGCAGCACAUACACUAAAAUUAAAAUGAUACAGAGAAGAUCAGCAUGGCCCCUGCACAAGGAUGACAUGCAAAUUCGUGAAGCAUUCCAUAUUUUU